UGCACGACCACGGGCUCUCCUCUCUCCCUCUCCUCCCGAUCCCAGCCGCCAGGAGGCGCACGACCUGCGCGACGCUCGAUCUGGUGCCGUGCCGGCCGAUGGCCGACGCCGGUGAUCAGAGCACACUACACCACCGGUCUUCCUCAGCUCCUCCUUUCCUUCGCGCGCCCUACCUCCUCGCUGCACGCCACGCGGGAGGGCUCGCGCCCGCCGCUCGACCAGAGCCACCGCUAGCUAGUCCGGUUCCGCGCCGGCUGCCGGCCGAUGGCCGACGGAGGUGUUCGAAGCAUCCUACACCACCAGUCUUCUUCGUCUCCUCCUUUCGUUUGCAUUCCCGAGCUCCUCGCUGUACGCCGCCCGGGAGGGCUCGUGCUCGCCGCUCGACCAGAGCCACCGCCAGUUGGUCGUUGCUGCACUUGCCCGCGACCCCUCCGCCCCCUCUACACCGCCCUCCACCUCAAGUUCUGAUGCACAUGUGUUUGUGGAUGUUCUCAGUUAUUUUUUGCACACAAGGUGUUUGUGUGUUUGUCCCAGCCAGUUUCAGUCACAGAUCCUUGAGUGAAGUAGCCACCGAGCAGUAAGGCCAUCGAGUGACACAAGACCACGGGACAGCGUGAGAAGAAGCAGAGGGGUGUCUGGCGGGAUGGGGAAGACCACGAGGAUGUGUGGCGAUGGAGUGCAAUCCCAAAGAAGAAGAACAUUGCAAAGAAAGACCCUAGCCAAGUGCCACCCAAUUCUCUCUCACCGACCCAUCUAAUGGCCAUCAAUUCAAUUGGUCCAAGUUGUUGCGUUGACCUUCCCAUUGAUCCACUACAUCCACGCUCAGCUGCUUCUGCUAUGCUUCUUCUCCAUGGCAUUGCCGACUGCCAGCGUGCCUGACAACGCGCCUUAUGUGACCUGAUAUGAUGCUCCUCUACGUGUUCUUAUCACCCCGGUUUCCAUGAGGAGAGAUGUUCUGCAGUUCUGUGGCUCUACUCCAUAGUAAUGAUGGAGUCUCCUCCAGAUGGAUAGCAAUUAUCUCGGGAUCAUGAAUAGCUUUGGUGCCCUCUCUCACUCAUGGUGAGGCCAUGCGUGUUUGCCAUGGUUGUGGCUACGAAAUCUCAGACUGAGUCGCUUUGGUCGGGCACUAUUCAGGAAAUAUGACAGCGAAGACGGCCUACAUGCCUCUCGAUCGAGUAAAUCUCUCCUGGCCUUCAAGAGGCUGCUGGAAAUCAACCACCGCGAGGUCCUCAAGGAGCUCUACCACAGGAAAAUCAACAACGUUCGAUACGUAUUCUGUUCCAAAGCUAUCUACUUCAUGGUGUACGAGAAGUACCGCAGCUGGCUCCUAGGCACUAUUCCCUCGCUUGGCGGCAGCCUGGUCAGGACUUGCUUGUCGGGUCGGCCGUGACGGCACAUCCCCAAUAGAUACGUAUCCCCUCAACUCGCCUUCUGUCAUAGUUUGCUUGGUACCCUCACUAAUACAUGUUCGCUCCGAUAUAUGUUAUGACAAUCUGAAGCGCGUCGGGCCGUGGACAAUGUUCGAUAAAGCGGCCAUUACUAGCGACGUGAUUGAGUACAUCCGCUCCCCAUGUAUGACAUAUUGUAGGCAUUGGCCACAAUCCUUUAAUUGACUAGAAACACAGGAGACCUGUAGUUUAAGAUGGUGCUCGUCUAUGCCUUUUUGGUCUAACUCUGAAAUCCAUCAGUACCUCUAGUUAGCCAAGGACGAGGUUGAAUUUUCGUUGCCUCAGAUUUGAUGUAGCGUGUUGGCAUUGCUAACUUACCCAUAACACAUGGUCAAUCGAGUUUCAUUUUAGUAUUGUGAGUCUAGGAGCGCACAUGCACUCUGUUUACUGGCCAUCGAAGAGGGGCUGCCUUUGCACGUCAUGGGGUUCAGAUUGAAGGAAAAUUGGGCUGGACUGUUCUGCUCAUGUUAAUUGAUGGAGCUAAAUGUAUUGCCUGGCGGAAGAUUAGUAUAAUAGAAAAAUGGGGUAGGGUUGCUCGUCCGUUCCGUAUAGGUAAGGUUUGUAAUUUGGAAUACCGAGCAAGUUCUCAAGUAGUGACACCCUGAAGUUUCAUUCUAAUUUCAUCAGGUGUUUGGUGCAUGAGGAGAUUUUUCAUAGUAAUCAUAACACUUCCUUUCCAGAUAGCAAGAUGAAACUAAAUAUUUUGUUCAUAGUAAUCAUACCUAUUCCUUUCAAGCUGAAACUAGACACAUCCUCAUCAGAUAAAUUGAUUCAUGUUCUUACUUCAUGUCCAGACAGCAAGACGAAACUAAAUACUUUUGCUAGCGUAUUUGCUGGAUCUUGAUUUUCGUAUAUGUUUAGAUUUGUCUUACACAUGUUGAAGAACCAGAUUCAGAGUAUUGCCAAGGGAUAGCCCAACGUCUUCUUGUGAAACUAGAUUAAUUGUACAAGAUUGAAUGUGACAAAACAUUAUACAUGAUAAUCGUUUCUUUGAAGUUUGAAGGUGGCACAUGACAUCUUUUCAAUUAUAUAUUCAUUUAAUUCAGUUGGAGAGGAAUAAAUUAUGUUAAAAAUCAGUACCAUGAUAUUUUAGUAUGAUUGGUCCUUUUGGAGUACAUUUAUAACACAAAAGAAUUGUUUGGUGGCCUCAUACAUUUUUCUCGUGCCUACCUUUGCAGCACAUCAGUGACAACAUGCUUGGCCAUAUGUCUCAAUUUCGGUGUCUGAAAGCACAAGAUUAGAUGACUUUUCAGAUGAUCGGAGACAUGGUAAGGUCUCUAUAUUAAAGUUAUUAUGAGUCAACCUAAUAUUUUAUUCUGUUUAUUGCAAAUAGAACCAGAAGCCAAGAUACGAGUACGCAAUUCAGAACCUUUAUGUGGUGUGAACAAGAUGAACAACAGGAGAGAAUGGUGAGGGAAUCGGAAUUAAAUGGAAAACAGGGUUAGCGGCUCAGAUCAGCGACAUGAACUCCUCAAUUUUCCCUAUUGUAUUAGCCCAAGUACGGAGUAUCUUUAUCCUGCUCUCGCAGUGGGAUACGAAACGCACUCUUCCAUCCAGUUCCUCCUCCCGGUCAACCCAAGUACAUUGCAAACGAUGUUUGCUUGUAGGGAAGCAUCAUUGAAUUAGAUGUAUUUACGAGUUAUAAAUGUUAAGUACGUGGAUACUUUUUCCCCGUUGCAACGCACGGGCAUUUUGUAUCGGGUUGUCCUGGUGUUGCAACCUAGGAAGUAUAAACAGGGUCCAUCGUCACCAUGGAUGAAAACCUUGUCAAGCCUUACUUUUUGCAGGUUGCCUUAUUUCUGUUUCUUUUAGAGAAAAGAUAGCAAUUUCGUUCAUUACAAUCCUGUUGCACGGACCCUGCUAGAUCGCGGUGCGUCGAGAUCAUAAUUGCUACACUCAAAGGUUACAUUGACCAUAUUGCUGACAUUUGGAAAAAUUAUAUUAAAAAUGUUGCAUAAUA